GUACGACAUCCAAAGUUAAUUGGAGACCUUGUGAGUGUAUUUUGCUGGACAGCUCGGAAGUUCCAGCGAAAAGAAUCAAAAAGCGGGUAGAUCGGUACUGCCCAUGACAGCUCGAAUUUCAUCUCUCGCAGCACUGCAGUCCCGUCGUGACCUCGACCGGUGUAGGGUAGCAAGUAUCUACAAAUAA